rnacentral:lncRNA from 13 species
GCUCAUGCUGAGCUUCCAGCAAAACAUUUCUUCUCUUUCUGUAGCUCAUGACAUCCUGGCAUCAACUGUCCUGUGAGCCAUCCAUGGAAGAAGUUCUCUUCUGAAGCCACAGUGGAGGUAGCAUAGGUGGAUGCGGUGAAGAAUCGCUGUGCCCAGGGCAAUCGUCAGUAAUAACAGAGCUGAUGGGACAAUAACUCAGAGAGGUGAGCACACCACAGACAGCACCAGGGGGCAAAUGUUCUUCCUGAUUAACGGGAGGUUCAAGCCAAUGUCAGACAAUAAAGGAAAUCUCACCACAGUGUAUAUUCACAGACUUCUUAGGUUCAGAUAUUUUGUUUACAAGACAAAUCAUUUCCCUAACCCUGCUCGUCUCAAUUGACCUGGUUAAAAUUGUUUCCAAAGCCAGCAGUUCUAAAGAGCAGAACCAGAACAGAAUGGAAACUUUCUGGACUUGCUCACCAAAACCUGAGGCCCUCAUCUCAGCCCACCCAGAAUGAUCCAAGAUGGCCGAUCGCUAACAUCUCGGGAUUGCAGCUCUCAGUGAAAGUGCAGAGAACUAGAGGACGCCACACUUUCAGACGAAUUCUGGUCGCUCACGGAGCAGAAGAUCCCCAGUGGAGGAGUCACAGGGGUCGCCAGCACGACUCUUGUGGCCGGCGCGGUGGUUUCACCAGCACCUCAGUGCGGCAACUCUCGGAG